AACGAACGCUGGCGGCAUGCCUAACACAUGCAAGUCGAACGAGACCUUCGGGUCUAGUGGCGCACGGGUGCGUAACGCGUGGGAACCUGCCCUUAGGUUCGGAAUAACUCCCCGAAAGGGGUGCUAAUACCGGAUAAUGUCUUCGGACCAAAGAUUUAUCGCCUUUGGAUGGGCCCGCGUUGGAUUAGCUAGUUGGUAGGGUAAAAGCCUACCAAGGCGACGAUCCAUAGCUGGUCUGAGAGGAUGAUCAGCCACACUGGGACUGAGGCACGGCCCAGACUCAUGCGGGAGGCAGGAGGGGGGAAUAUGGGGAAAGGGGCGAAAGCCUGACCCAGAAAUGCCGGGGGAGUGAGGAAGGCCUUGGGGUUGUAAAGCUCUUUUCCCGGGGAUGAAAAUGGACGUACCGGGAGAAUAAGCCCCGGCUAACCCCGU
rnacentral:rRNA from 1 species